ACAGCAGUAGCCACGGGAACACGAAGGGUGCAAGCGUUACUCGGAAUUACUGGGCGUAAAGCGUGCGUAGGUGGUGGUUUAAGUCCGUUGUGAAAGCCCUGGGCUCAACCUGGGAAUUGCAGUGGAUACUGGGUCACUAGAGUGUGGUAGAGGAUAGUGGAAUUUCCGGUGUAGCAGUGAAAUGCGUAGAGAUCGGAAGGAACAUCUGUGGCGAAGGCGACUAUCUGGGCCAACACUGACACUGAGGCACGAAAGCGUGGGGAGCAAACAGGAUUAGAUACCCCCGUAGUCCCUGUCUCUUAUAA
rnacentral:rRNA from 1 species